rnacentral:ncRNA from 2 species
GACGUAGGGGGCAAGCGUUGCCCGGAUUCACUGGGCGUAAAGCGGGUGUAGGCGGUCCGUUAAGUCGGAUGUGAAAUCUCGAGGCUCAACCUCGAAACUGCAUCCGAUACUGGCGGACUUGAGGACGGUAGAGGUCGGUGGAAUUCCCGGUGUACCGGUGAAAUGGACAGAUAUCGGGAGGAACACCAGUGGCGAAGGCGGCCGACUGGGCCGAUCCUGACGCUGAGACCCGAAAGCCAGGGUAGCGAACCGG